rnacentral:rRNA from 1 species
UUACCCGCUGAGUUUAAGCAUAUCAAUAAGCGGAGGAAAAGAAACUAACAAGGAUUCCCUUACUAACGGC